UUGAGAUUACCAGGUGGGGUAUGUGUGGU
rnacentral:piRNA from 1 species